CCUACGGGAGGCAGCAGUGGGGAAUAUUGGGCAAUGGGCGAAAGCCUGACCCAGCAACGCCGCGUGAAGGAAGAAGGCUUUCGGGUUGUAAACUUCUUUUGACAGGGAAGAGCAGAAGACGGUACCUGUCGAAUAAGCCACGGCUAACUACGUGCCAGCAGCCGCGGUAAUACGUAGGUGGCAAGCGUUGUCCGGAUUUACUGGGUGUAAAGGGCGUGUAGCCGGGCUGACAAGUCCGAUGUGAAACCCGGGGCUCAACCCCCGAACUGCAUUUGAAACUGUUGGUCUUGAGGAUCGGAGAGGCAGGCGGAAUUCCUAGUGUAGCGGUGAAAUGCGUAGAUAUUAGGAGGAACACCAGUGGCGAAGGCGGCCUGCUGGACGACAACUGACGGUGAGGCGCGAAAGCGUGGGGAGCAAACAGGAUUAGAUACCCUAGUAGUC
rnacentral:rRNA from 1 species